rnacentral:rRNA from 1 species
AGAACGAACGCUGGCGGCAUGCCUAACACAUGCAAGUCGAACGAGACCUCCGGGUCUAGUGGCGCACGGGUGCGUAAACGCGUGGGAAUCUGCCCUUGGGUUCGGAAUAACUUCGGGAAACUGAAGCUAAUACCGGAUGAUGACGUAAGUCCAAAGAUUUAUCGCCCAAGGAUGAGCCCGCGUAGGAUUAGCUAGUUGGUGAGGUAAAGGCUCACCAAGGCGACGAUCCUUAGCUGGUCUGAGAGGAUGAUCAGCCACACUGGGACUGAGACACGGCCCAGACUCCUACGGGAGGCAGCAGUGGGGAAUAUUGGACAAUGGGCGAAAGCCUGAUCCAGCAAUGCCGCGUGAGUGAUGAAGGCCUUAGGGUUGUAAAGCUCUUUACCCGGGAUGAUAAUGACAGUACCGGGAGAAUAAGCUCCGGCUAACUCCGUG